rnacentral:rRNA from 1 species
UACGUACCGUACGAACGUUAUUCGGAAUUACUGGGCUUAAAGGGUUUGUAGGCGGCCUUGUAAGUCAGGUGUGAAAUCCCGGAGCUCAACUUCGGAACUGCCUUUGAUACAGCACAUCUGGAGUCCGGAAGAGGUGGGUGGAAUUCCUAGUGUAGAGGUGAAAUUCGUAGAUAUUAGGAAGAACACCGGUGGCGAAGGCGGCCCACUGGUCCGGUACUGACGCUGAGGUGCGAAAGCGUGGGGAGCAAACAGG